rnacentral:rRNA from 1 species
UACAGAGGGUGCAAGCGUUGUUCGGAAUCAUUGGGCGUAAAGCGCGUGUAGGCGGUCCGGUAAGUCCGCUGUGAAAGUCGGGGGCUCAACCCUCGGAUGCCGGUGGAUACUGUCGGGCUUGAGUACGGAAGAGGCGAGUGGAAUUCCUGGUGUAGCGGUGAAAUGCGCAGAUAUCAGGAGGAACACCAAUUGCGAAGGCAGCUCGCUGGGACGUUACUGACGCUGAGACGCGAAAGCGUGGGGAGCGAACAGG